UAACGCGAAGAACCUUACCAGGACUUGACAUGCCACUUUUUCCCUGAAAGGGGAAGUUCCCGAGUGGACACAGGUGGUGCAUGGCUGUCGUCAGCUCGUGUCUUGAGAUGAGUUGGGUUAGUCCCGCAACGAGCGCAACCCUUGUUUUGAAUUGCCAGUUAUGGGAAAUUCAAAAGACUGCCGGUGACAAGCCGGAGGAAGGUGAGGAUGACGUCAAGUCAGCAUGCCCCUUACGUCCUGGGCUACACACGUGCUACAAUGGCCGGGACAAAGAGAUGCAAUCCCGCGAGGGGGAGCCAACCUCAAAAACCCGGUCUCAGUUCGGAUUGUAGGCUGCAACUCGCCUACAUGAAGUCGGAAUCGCUAGUAAUCGCAGGUCAGACAUACUGCGUGAAUACGUUCCCGGGUCUUGACACCGA
rnacentral:rRNA from 1 species